rnacentral:sRNA from 1 species
UCAUGGUUAUAUCUUUUACAGAAAGUGC